AGGCAAUGGAAGGCAAUCAGGACCAUGAUGAAAACACUCAGAGAAUAUGCCAAGCAGGGCUGCCUUUCCCCCAGGAGGCAUAGAGAACACUAAAUCAAUAAAAAUCAAUGUUAUUUCCUCCUUUAUUAGUUGUUCCAAGUGAGUAGGUAUGGAAACACAUUAAACAACAGAUUCCUCCAUUCUGGUUUCUAUAUCAGGAAUUGGCCAUGUUUCCUGGCAGCAAACCAGAGGUUCAGCAUUCAACUUAUUAAGAGUUUAAUGUGCCAGCUUGGCAUUCAUGGAGUAUACUGCCCGGGAGCUGAUUACAACAACAUACCAAGAAGAAAGAUGGAACAUGAUAUUGUCUAAAGUACAAGCUGGAGUAGUCUCUCGGAAGCCGAGAAUGACGAUUGUCUUUGUGCAUGUGUGCACAAAGAUACUUGUGCGUGAAGAUUUAAGUGGAAAAGUCGAUGCACAGAGACAGUCCCACUCUCUCGGCAUUGGAAGCCUAGGUCCAGUGGUAUGAAAAGUCAUUACACCUGGA
rnacentral:lncRNA from 1 species